CCGAAAGCGUUAGUUCGUAAUACUAUGUGUAGCCCGUUUGUUAAACAACGUUGGCGGGGUUGUAGGUUAUCAGUGGAGCGGUGGGUUAAAAGAAAGAGGUUGUGAACGGUACUUGGUAUUAAGGAUGAAGGGAGAUUAUAGAUGAUUGAAUGGCGAACAACGACGAAAAUCUUUGAUGAUAGAAAAUUAUUGUAAAAAAAAAAAAAAAGAAAAAAAAGAAAAAAGAAAAAGAAAAAGAAAAAAAAAGAAAAAAAAAGAAGAAGAAAAAAGAAGGACAAAGUAAUGGAAAGAAGAAACAUUUUUUUUCGACCUCUUAGAAAACAACGAUUAGAAUUUCUUUUCGUUCGAUUUUCCGCAGUCAUUUUAAAAAAGGUUUCGUUGCUAUCGAGCUACUCUCUUAAAGCAGCUAUCGCUUAACGUCACCGAUAGGACUUUUAUCAGUGCCGCUUUCGAACUUACAGGAGUAGAUUACUCGAUCGUUCAUUGAGAGAGAGAGGGAAAGGGAGAGGGGGAGAAAGAGAGAGGAAUAGAGAUGGAGAUAAAGGUAGCUGCAUAAAAAGCACCAUCAAUGAAGAGAGAGAGAGAGAGAGAGAGAGAGAGAGAGAGAGAGAGAGAGAGAGAGAGAGUGAAGAAAGAAGAAAGAAAUAUAAAAAGAGAGAGAGAGAGAGAGAGAGAGAGAUCGUUGGACUGUAAAUUCUAGAGCCAUUCGUGUUCCUUCUCCUGUUCGAUUUCUCUGUUUGUCAGAAACGUCGAGAUUCAACGUCGUUCGUAUAAACGAAAAAAUGUCCACUCUCGUAUGAAUUAUGAAGCUGUCGUGUACAGGGAAAGAAAAUUGGAAGUGAAGGUGCAUCCAGAUUGCAGAUGUUCAGAGAUAACGUAGAACAUUUUGGACGUUAGCAUCGUAACGUUUCUAUUUUAUCGCAUUAAUUCUCGGCGUUGCACGUUCGUGUUUCAUAAUACCGACGGUAACCAUCCAUCCGGUUGUUAUCAGCCAUCCAAUUUUAUCGUGAACAUUUUAUGUUGAGUUUACAACGCCGUUAAGGCAACCGUAUCGUGUUCGCGGACAUUUAUCGCGAUGUCGUCGAUAAGUGAAUAAGCUUCAUAAGUCUUGUUUCAUUUUACAUUGAUGAAAAUCGAAUUAUCGAUACUUCAUUAUCAUAAUUAAAAAUUAUUCAUAUUAAGGAAUAAUUCUAAUAAUCAAAGUAUUAGACGGAAACGAUCUAAUUUCUUUUCCAUUGUUCCAUUUUAUUUCUUUUCAUUAUAAUAAAAUUGACAAUUAUUGCCAAAGCAAUUUAGUUAUAAAUUAUCAAUUUGGGUCGAUCACAAUGAUAAUAUUCGAAGUAUUCAUUUUCUUGUAGCGAGAUCUGUAUAAACUUUCUUAAACGAGACAGAGAAAGAGAGAGAGAGAGAGAGAGAGAGAGAAUAUCAGAUACUCGAGGAGAAUAGUGUAGGAAUUAGAUAAUAGCUGUUGGAGAGUUUGGAGGCAAACGAAGAUGUGGAAGCGACUACGAGUCAAGAGCGAAUUCCAUGGCUGCAGAUGACGGCAGUGCAUUCGGAGACAUCAAAUUAGUUGACUGAGUCAAUAUAUUUGUACCGAUCGGAGAUAUCCAGCAAACAAACGUCACAAACGCGAGGUAUUCGAUCGGUCAAACACAUCCGAUGGAAACCGAAUGAUUUCACGUACAAGUGGUGCUUUCAACUUCCGGAAGGUUGCGGUACGCGAGGCUCGAUAGCGAACUCGCCGAUGUUGCAGUUGACUUCAGCGAGCUCUGUUUGUCGAGAACAAACUGCCAUGAGUCCGCGCGAUGACCAAUCAAGCUAAACUUUUUAAUUACGAUCGUCCUUGUUUCGUGCACCAACAUGGAGACGGAUCAACCUCGAUGCAUACAGACCAUUUUAUCCUCUCGAUCUCUACUCGUUUAAUCCAACGUAUGUAUGUACAUGGGACCAUGUGUAUCCUGCCUGUUCUGGUCAUGAAAAUUAAAAAGUUGUAACUUGCACAUUAUUUUGACAUAAGUGAGAUAAAAAACGAAGGAAGUUUAUGGACUACCGUUCACACGCUCUAUUUUUAAGGUUUUUUUUUAUUUUUAUUGUUAAACGGUAAAGGUAAUAGGUUGUAGAGUAUAUAUAUAUAUAUAUAUACAUAUAUUAUAAUUAAAAAAGGUUCAGUUUGAAUAUUGUCACGUAGAUAAUGUUUUAUUAAAUUUUUGACUAUUUUUAUUAUUUUCAACGAUACAAAAGAACGUUUCAGUACAAAGUAACAUAGUUCGAAGAUAGAGAGAGAGAGAGAGAGAGGGAGAGAAAAUUAUAUGGAAAUGUUUUAUGUGUGAAAUAUAUCAUUUUCAAAUAAAAUCAAAUUUUAUUCUACAAAUAUAUUUUACGACCAAAGUGAAAUCUUCGAAAGUUUCCCUUUCGAAGCAAGUAAAUUUAUAUCGAACGAUUGUGAUUCUGUGCAACAUGGAAGAUAAUGAAAAUAUCAAAAUUUUUAUAUUACAAUUAAAUGGGAUAUCUUGUAUAUCCUAAAAAAAAAAAA